UACGUAGGGGGCGAGCGUUGUCCGGAAUUAUUGGGCGUAAAGCGCGUGUAGGCGGUCCGGUAAGUCCGCUGUGAAAGUCGAGGGCUCAACCCUCGAAUGCCGGUGGAUACUGUCGGGCUAGAGUACGGAAGAGGCGAGUGGAAUUCCCGGUGUAGCGGUGAAAUGCGCAGAUAUCGGGAGGAACACCUAUGGCGAAGGCAGCUCGCUGGGACGUUACUGACGCUGAGACGCGAAAGCGUGGGGAGCAAACAGG
rnacentral:rRNA from 1 species